UACGAAGGGGGCUAGCGUUGCUCGGAAUCACUGGGCGUAAAGCGCACGUAGGCGGAUUGUUAAGUCAAGGGUGAAAUCCUGGAGCUCAACUCCAGAACUGCCUUUGAUACUGGCGAUCUCGAGUCCGGGAGAGGUGAGUGGAACUGCGAGUGUAGAGGUGAAAUUCGUAGAUAUUCGCAAGAACACCAGUGGCGAAGGCGGCUCACUGGCCCGGUACUGACGCUGAGGUGCGAAAGCGUGGGGAGCAAACAGG
rnacentral:rRNA from 1 species